rnacentral:rRNA from 1 species
GACGAACGCUGGCGGCGUGCUUAACACAUGCAAGUCGAACGGAAAGGCCUUUUCGGAGGUACUCGAGUGGCGAACGGGUGAGUAACACGUGGGUGAUCUGCCCUGCACUCUGGGAUAAGCCUGGGAAACUGGGUCUAAUACCGGAUAGGACCGCACUUUAGUGUGUGUGGUGGAAAGUUUUUUCGGUGUAGGAUGAGCCCGCGGCCUAUCAGCUUGUUGGUGGGGUAAUGGCCUACCAAGGCGGCGACGGGUAGCCGGACUGAGAGGUUGGUCGGCCACAUUGGGACUGAGAUACGGCCCAGACUCCUACGGGAGGCAGCAGCGGGGAAUAUUGCACAAUGGGCGCAAGCCUGAUGCAGCGACGCCGCGUGGGGGAUGACGGCCUUCGGGUUGUAAACUCCUUUCGCCAGGGACGAAGCGUUUUGUGACGGUACCUGGAGAAGAAGCACCGGCUAACUACGUG